rnacentral:rRNA from 1 species
GACGAACGCUGGCGGCGUGCCUAAUACAUGCAAGUAGAACGCUGAAGAGAGGAGCUUGCUCUUCUUGGAUGAGUUGCGAACGGGUGAGUAACGCGUAGGUAACCUGCCUGGUAGCGGGGGAUAACUAUUGGAAACGAUAGCUAAUACCGCAUGAAAUUGCUUAUCGCAUAAUAAUUGAUUGAAAGAUGCAAUUGCAUCACUACCAGAUGGACCUGCGUUGUAUUAGCUAGUUGGUGAGGUAACGGCUCACCAAGGCGACGAUACAUAGCCGACCUGAGAGGGUGAUCGGCCACACUGGGACUGAGACACGGCCCAGACUCCUACGGGAGGCAGCAGUAGGGAAUCUUCGGCAAUGGGGGGAACCCUGACCGAGCAACGCCGCGUGAGUGAAGAAGGUUUUCGGAUCGUAAAGCUCUGUUGUAAGAGAAGAACGGGUGUGAGAGUGGAAAGUUCACACUGUGACGGUAUCUUACCAGAAAGGGACGGCUAACUACGUG